UACAGAGGUCUCAAGCGUUGUUCGGAUUCAUUGGGCGUAAAGGGUGCGUAGGCGGAUCUUUAAGUCAGGGGUGAAAUCCUGGAGCUCAACUCCAGAACUGCCUUUGAUACUGGGGAUCUCGAGUCCGGAAGAGGUGAGUGGAACUCCGAGUGUAGAGGUGAAAUUCGUAGAUAUUGGGAAGAACACCGGUGGCGAAGGCGGCUCUCUGGACCGAGACUGACGCUGAGGCGCGAAAGCGUGGGGAGCAAACAGG
rnacentral:rRNA from 1 species